CCUACGGGGGGCAGCAGUGGGGAAUAUUGGACAAUGGGGGCAACCCUGAUCCAGCCAUGCCGCGUGUGUGAAGAAGGCCCUCGGGUUGUAAAGCACUUUCAGUGAGGAAGAACGCCUGGUGGUUAAUACCCAUCAGGAAAGACAUCACUCACAGAAGAAGCACCGGCUAACUCCGUGCCAGCAGCCGCGGUAAUACGGAGGGUGCGAGCGUUAAUCGGAAUUACUGGGCGUAAAGCGCGCGUAGGUGGCUUGAUAAGCCGGUUGUGAAAGCCCCGGGCUCAACCUGGGAACGGCAUCCGGAACUGUCAAGCUAGAGUGCAGGAGAGGAAGGUAGAAUUCCCGGUGUAGCGGUGAAAUGCGUAGCGAUCGGGAGGAAUACCAGUGGCGAAGGCGGCCUUCUGGACUGACACUGACACUGAGGUGCGAAAGCGUGGGUAGCAAACAGGAUUAGAUACCCGUGUAGUC
rnacentral:rRNA from 1 species